CUACGGGAGGCUGCAGUCGAGAAUCUUCCGCAAUGGACGAAAGUCUGACGGAGCGACGCCGCGUGCGGGAUGAAGGCCUUCGGGUUGUAAACCGCUGUCGUAGGGGAGCAAAUUUUGAGCGAUCCUAGGAGGAAGCACCGGCUAAACUCGUGCCAGCAGCCGCGGUAAUACGAGUGGUGCAAACGUUAUUCGGAAUCACUGGGCUUAAAGGGUGCGUAGGCGGCCAUGAAGGUCUGAUGUGAAAUCCCACGGCUCAACCGUGGAACUGCAUUGGAAACCACAUGGCUGGAGUGAGACAGAGGUGAGCGGAACAGAUGGUGGAGCGGUGAAAUGCGUUGAUAUCAUCUGGAACACCGGUGGCGAAAGCGGCUCACUGGGCCUCUACUGACGCUGAGGCACGAAAGCUAGGGGAGCAAACGGGAUUAGAUACCCUCGUAGUC
rnacentral:rRNA from 1 species